rnacentral:rRNA from 1 species
UACGUAGGGUGCGAGCGUUAAUCGGAAUUACUGGGCGUAAAGCGUGCGCAGGCGGUUUUGUAAGCCAGAUGUGAAAUCCCCGGGCUUAACCUGGGAACUGCAUUUGUGACUGCAUUGCUGGAGUGCGGCAGAGGGGGAUGGAAUUCCGCGUGUAGCAGUGAAAUGCGUAGAUAUGCGGAGGAACACCGAUGGCGAAGGCAAUCCCCUGGGCCUGCACUGACGCUCAUGCACGAAAGCGUGGGGAGCAAACAGG